UACGUAGGUGGCAAGCGUUAUCCGGAUUUAUUGGGUGUAAAGGGCGUGUAGGCGGGAGCGCAAGUUAGAUGUGAAAACUCAGGGCUCAACCCUGAGCCUGCAUUUGAAACUGUGUUUCUUGAGUGCUGGAGAGGCAAUCGGAAUUCCGUGUGUAGCGGUGAAAUGCGUAGAUAUACGGAGGAACACCAGUGGCGAAGGCGGAUUGCUGGACAGUAACUGACGCUGAGGCGCGAAAGCGUGGGGAGCAAACAGG
rnacentral:rRNA from 1 species